AGAGUUUGAUCCUGGCUCAGGAUGAACGCUGGCGGUAUGCCUAACACAUGCAAGUCGAACGGAUGUUUUCGGACAUUAGUGGCGGACGGGUGAGUAACGCGUGAGAAUCUAGCUUCAGGUUGGGGACAACAGUUGGAAACGACUGCUAAUACCGAAUAUGCCGAGAGGUGAAAGAUUAAUUGCCUGAAGAAGAGCUCGCGUCUGAUUAGCUAGUUGGUGGGGUAAGAGCUUACCAAGGCGACGAUCGGUAGCUGGUCUGAGAGGACGAUCAGCCACACUGGGACUGAGACACGGCCCAGACUCCUACGGGAGGCAGCAGUGGGGAAUUUUCCGCAAUGGGCGAAAGCCUGACGGAGCAAUACCGCGUGAGGGAAGAAGGCUCUUGGGUUGUAAACCUCUUUUCUUAGGGAAGAAAAAAAUGACGGUACCUAAGGAAUAAGCAUCGGCUAACUCCGUGCCAGCAGCCGCGGUAAUACGGAGGAUGCAAGCGUUAUCCGGAAUGAUUGGGCGUAAAGCGUCCGCAGGUGGUUUAUCAAGUUUGCGGUUAAAGGUUCUGGCUCAACCAGAGACAGGCCGUGAAAACUGAUAGACUAGAGUAUGGUAGGGGCAGAGGGAAUUCCCAGUGUAGCGGUGAAAUGCGUAGAGAUUGGGAAGAACACCGGUGGCGAAAGCGCUCUGCUAGGCC
rnacentral:rRNA from 1 species